GAUGGGUAGGGGAGCGUCGUCUGCCGGGUGAAGCAGCCGCGUAAGCGAGUUGUGGACGGUUGACGAGUGAGAAUGCAGGCAUGAGUAGCGAUUCACACGUGAGAAACGUGUGCGCCGAUUGACUAAGGGUUCCUGGGUCAAGCUGAUCUGCCCAGGGUAAGUCGGGACCUAAGGCGAGGCCGACAGGCGUAGUCGAUGGAUAACCGGUUGAUAUUCCGGUACCCGCUGUGAAGCGUCAAACAUCGAAUCCAGUGAUGCUAAGCCCGUGAAGCCGCCGGCUGAGUCUUCGGACGAGGUCGGAGUGGUGGAGCCGGUGACCCGAGCUGGUAGUAGGUGAGUGAUGGGGUGACGCAGGAAGGUAGUCCAUCCCGGGCGGUGGUUGUCCCGGGGUAAGGGUGUAGGACGUCAGGUAGG
rnacentral:rRNA from 1 species